rnacentral:rRNA from 1 species
AUACGUAGGGGGCGAGCGUUGUCCGGAAUGAUUGGGCGUAAAGGGCGCGUAGGCGGCCCGGUAAGUCUGGAGUGAAAGCCCUGUUUUUAAGAUGGGAAUUGCUUUGGAUACUGUCGGGCUUGAGUGCAGGAGAGGUAAGUGGAAUUCCCAGUGUAGCGGUGAAAUGCGUAGAGAUUGGGAGGAACACCAGUGGCGAAGGCGACUUACUGGACUGUAACUGACGCUGAGGCGCGAAAGUGUGGGGAGCAAACAGGAUUAGAUACCCUGGUAGUCCACACUGUAAACGAUGGGUACUAGGUGUAGGAGGUAUCGACCCCUUCUGUGCCGUCGUUAACACAAUAAGUACCCCGCCUGGGGAGUACGGUCGCAAGACUAAAACUCAAAGGAAUUGACGGGG